GGCUUAAUGAUAUUAAUUUUAAGUCUAUCUGCCCAAUGAUUUUAAAUUUAAUGGCUGCAGUAUAAUUGACUGUACAAAGGUAGCAUAAUCAAUUGUUUUUUAAUUAAAAACUGGAAUGAAAGAAUUAAUGAGAUAUAUACUGUCUCAUAUAUAUAUAAUUAAUUUAAAUUUUUAGUAAAAAUGCUAAAAUAAAUUUAUGGGACGAUAAGACCCUAUAGAAUUUUAUAUUAAUAUUUAAAUUAAAUUAUUUUAAAUAUUAAUAUUUAAUUGGGAGGAUUAAUAAAUUUAUAAAACUUUAUUUUAAAUGAAAACUUUAAUUAAAGAAUUUAUAAUGAUUAUGUAUUAUGAAUUAUAAGAAUAAAUUACCUUAGGGAUAACAGCGUAAUAUCUUUUUAAAGAUCAAAUUGAUAAAGAUGAUUGCGACCUCGAUGUUGAAUUAAGAUAAAUUUUAAAUGUAGAAGUUUAAUAAUUAAGUCUGUUCGACUUUUAAAAUCUU
rnacentral:rRNA from 1 species